rnacentral:rRNA from 1 species
UACGGGGGGAGCAAGCGUUGUUCGGAUUUACUGGGCGUAAAGGGCGCGUAGGCGGUCAGUGCAAGUCAGUUGUGAAAUCUCCGGGCUUAACUCGGAACGGUCAACUGAUACUGCUCGACUAGAGUGCGGAAGGGGCAACUGGAAUUCUUGGUGUAGCGGUGAAAUGCGUAGAUAUCAAGAGGAACACCUGCGGCGAAGGCGGGUUGCUGGGCCGACACUGACGCUGAGUGCGCGAAAGCCAGGGGAGCGAACGGG